rnacentral:rRNA from 1 species
GAUGAACGCUGGCGGCGUGCCUAAUACAUGCCAGUCGAGCGAACAGAUGAGGAGCUUGCUCCUCUGACGUUAGCGGCGGACGGGUGAGUAACACGUGGAUAACCUACCUAUAAGACUGGGAUAACUUCGGGAAACCGGAGCUAAUACCGGAUAAUAUUUUGAACCGCAUGGUUCAAUAGUGAAAGACGGUUUUGCUGUCACUUAUAGAUGGAUCCGCGCCGCAUUAGCUAGUUGGUAAGGUAACGGCUUACCAAGGCAACGAUGCGUAGCCGACCUGAGAGGGUGAUCGGCCACACUGGAACUGAGACACGGUCCAGACUCCUACGGGAGGCAGCAGUAGGGAAUCUUCCGCAAUGGGCGAAAGCCUGACGGAGCAACGCCGCGUGAGUGAUGAAGGUCUUCGGAUCGUAAAACUCUGUUAUUAGGGAAGAACAAAUGUGUAAGUAACUAUGCACGUCUUGACGGUACCUAAUCAGAAAGCCACGGCUAACUACGUG